AGUGUGCUUAUUGAGGCUGAGGGCUGGCUGAGUAUGAAUGGACUCAUCCAUUCCUAGGCUAACUCCCAGGUUUCCGGGACAUUAACUGAGCUUGUGGAUAAGAUGGAGACUUAAGAUGAACUGGAGAGAUUUUCACUUGUGGACAUUUUAGAAGAAAAUUUCAAGACAUUAUGCUUCUUCUGUUCUUUUACUUUAAGAGCAACAUGAUGGAAGGCCUUGCCGACACCAAAGCGUUCAGAAGAACUAUUUCUGUUUUUCCAAAGGGCUUAAUAAGGAAACAGCUUAUUCUCUCUGAGGAAAAUGACACUUCACAGAGGCCAAAUAUAUUUCUGUAAAUUGUGAAGGAUAAUAAUGUUGUUCCAAUUAAGCUCUUCAUGCUCACGGUAUAGAGGCCAAUCUGACCUUAUACAAAUAGGACAGUAGGAGAAAAAAGAUGCUACCGUCACAAAUGCUCUCACCUGAAGGGUAAAUGUCACGAACAAGCAGUUGCCAAAAAAUUCUAGAGAAGCUAGAAGCAUCAUUUUAUUUUUCCAAAAUGAUGACUAGAUGAAUUUGUAAACUGAGAAACUAUAGGGGGCUGGAAUCAAGGAAUUUGAAGGGAUCAGCCAUGCUGAGCCAAGCGGCCUUUCUCAGAAUCUAGAAUUUCUUAUUUUCCGAUAACAAAGCCUUAAACCCCUCAGGCAAAUAGUCCUAGAAGAAAUUUUCUUCAUUAUUGGCUCGUUAGAUGAAGUUGACUCUCAUCUCUUAAAAUGAAUUUGUUUUACUGAGUAUUAAUGAUGCCUUCUAGAAAGUUCUUCCGUUUAUUUUUCUGCCCUAAAAAUGGUCAAGGUCAGGUUCUGAUAAAAGUCCAUCUUUUUUCCUUUCUUGUAGACUUAUAAAGAAAGAUGGAGAACAAAAACCCAGGAGAAGCCUUCCCUUAGUCUAUCUGUGAGCCAUAAUGUUGUCUAUUUAUGUGUUUUUAAAAGAUACAGUGAAAAAUUAUUUCUAUAUUCAGUGAAAUAUAUUAGUGGUGUGAUGAAAGAGGAACUCACUACUGUACUUAAAAUUCAAUUAGCUGGCUGUAGGCUUGGCAUAAGAUUAGCUUGCCUACUGAUUUUUUUUCUCUCCUUAAAUGCUCAAAUUUUUUUCUCAACCACUAAUAUCAAUGUUCAUGAUGAAGGAUCAAUAAACGCCUUGGAAAGUU